rnacentral:lncRNA from 1 species
AAUGAUGAAAUAACAUGAGGGGUCUUACAAGCAAGAUAGAUCUUUUGGUCCUUAGAGAGUUUAUUGCCCAAUAACUGGUAAUAAUCUUCUCGGUGUUGAGUACUUUACUUGUGUUAAUUUACCUAGUAACUAGUAAAAGGUAAUUUACUUCAUUUUUUUUCUCCAGCGGAUUCGUUCUUGUUUCCUCGGCAAGUCUAUCCUUGAUAUGUUCAUCUUAACCGAUGAUGGAUAUUCUUCCUAUUUGUGGUAUUUUACCCAGUAAAAAGGUAGUUGUAAUUCC